rnacentral:rRNA from 1 species
AUACGUAGGUGGCAAGCGUUGUCCGGAUUUACUGGGCGUAAAGGGAGCGUAGGUGGAUAUUUAAGUGGGAUGUGAAAUACUCGGGCUUAACCUGGGUGCUGCAUUCCAAACUGGAUAUCUAGAGUGCAGGAGAGGAAAGGAGAAUUCCUAGUGUAGCGGGGAAAUGCGUAGAGAUUAGGAAGAAUACCAGUGGCGAAGGCGCCUGUCUGGACUGUAACGGACACUGAGGCUCGAAAGCGUGGGGAGCAAACAGGAUUAGAUCCCCUGGUAGUCCACGCCGUAAACGAUGAAUACUAGGUGUAGGGGUUGUCAUGACCUCUGUGCCGCCGCUAACGCAUUAAGUAUUCCGCCUGGGGAGUACGGUCGCAAGAUUAAAACUCAAAGGAAUUGACGGGG